rnacentral:rRNA from 1 species
AGAACUCUCGUUAAGUAACUCGGCAAAAUGACCCCGUAACUUCGGGAGAAGGGGUGCUGACUUAGGUCAGCCGCAGUGAAUAGGCCCAAGCAACUGUUUAUCAAAAACACAGCUCUCUGCUAAAUCGUAAGAUGAUGUAUAGGGGGUGACGCCUGCCCGGUGCUGGAAGGUUAAGAGGAGGGUUUAGCGCAAGCGAAGAUCUGAAUUGAAGCCCCAGUAAACGGCGGCCGU